rnacentral:tRNA from 1 species
GGAGGAGUCGCAUAGUGGCCGAGUGCGAUUGCUUGGAAAGCAAUUAUGCCCGCAAGGGCAUCGCGAGUUCGAAUCUCGCCUCCUCCGCCA